rnacentral:rRNA from 1 species
GAGUUGCGAACGGGUGAGUAACGCGUAGGUAACCUGCCUUGUAGCGGGGGAUAACUAUUGGAAACGAUAGCUAAUACCGCAUAACAAUAGGUGACACAUGUCAUUUAUUUGAAAGGGGCAAUUGCUCCACUACAAGAUGGACCUGCGUUGUAUUAGCUAGUAGGUGAGGUAACGGCUCACCUAGGCGACGAUACAUAGCCGACCUGAGAGGGUGAUCGGCCACACUGGGACUGAGACACGGCCCAGACUCCUACGGGAGGCAGCAGUAGGGAAUCUUCGGCAAUGGGGGCAACCCUGACCGAGCAACGCCGCGUGAGUGAAGAAGGUUUUCGGAUCGUAAAGCUCUGUUGUAAGUCAAGAACGAGUGUGAGAGUGGAAAGUUCACACUGUGACGGUAGCUUACCAGAAAGGGACGGCUAACUACGUGCCAGCAGCCGCGGUAAUACGUAGGUCCCGAGCGUUGUCCGGAUUUAUUGGGCGUAAAGCGAGCGCAGGCGGUUUGAUAAGUCUGAAGUUAAAGGCUGUGGCUCAACCAUAGUUCGCUUUGGAAACUGUCAAACUUGAGUGCAGAAGGGGAGAGUGGAAUUCCAUGUGUAGCGGUGAAAUGCGUAGAUAUAUGGAGGAACACCGGUGGCGAAAGCGGCUCUCUGGUCUGUAACUGACGCUGAGGCUCGAAAGCGUGGGGAGCGAACAGGAUUAGAUACCCUGGUAGUCCACGCCGUAAACGAUGAGUGCUAGGUGUUGGAUCCUUUCCGGGAUUCAGUGCCGCAGCUAACGCAUUAAGCACUCCGCCUGGGGAGUACGACCGCAAGGUUGAAACUCAAAGGAAUUGACGGGGGCCCGCACAAGCGGUGGAGCAUGUGGUUUAAUUCGAAGCAACGCGAAGAACCUUACCAGGUCUUGACAUCCCGAUGCUAUUUCUAGAGAUAGAAAGUUACUUCGGUACAUCGGUGACAGGUGGUGCAUGGUUGUCGUCAGCUCGUGUCGUGAGAUGUUGGGUUAAGUCCCGCAACGAGCGCAACCCCUAUUGUUAGUUGCCAUCAUUCAGUUGGGCACUCUAGCGAGACUGCCGGUAAUAAACCGGAGGAAGGUGGGGAUGACGUCAAAUCAUCAUGCCCCUUAUGACCUGGGCUACACACGUGCUACAAUGGUUGGUACAACGAGUUGCGAGUCGGUGACGGCAAGCUAAUCUCUUAAAGCCAAUCUCAGUUCGGAUUGUAGGCUGCAACUCGCCUACAUGAAGUCGGAAUCGCUAGUAAUCGCGGAUCAGCACGCCGCGGUGAAUACGUUCCCGGGCCUUGUACACACCGCCCGUCACACCACGAGAGUUUGUAACACCCGAA